rnacentral:piRNA from 1 species
UGCACCAUUCUUCUUAGAGGAGCCAGCA